rnacentral:rRNA from 1 species
ACACGGAGGGUGCGAGCGUUGUUCGGAAUUACUGGGCGUAAAGCGUACGUAGGCGGUUAUUUAAGUCAGAUGUGAAAGCCCCGUGCUUAACUUGGGAACUGCAUUUGAAACUGGGUAACUAGAGUUUAGUAGAGGGGAGUGGAAUUUCAGGUGUAGCGGUGAAAUGCGUAGAGAUCUGAAGGAACACCAGUGGCGAAGGCGACUCCCUGGACUAAAACUGACGCUGAGGUACGAAAGCGUGGGUAGCAAACAGGAUUAGAAACCCCGGUAGUCC